UUCCUUCGACUUCAAAGUUUAAUUAAUUUAAACAAAUCUCUUAACGGUAUUUGCUUAGUAUUAUUCGACGGAUUGAUUAUGAAUAUUCGAGCGAGUGCUAUCCUUAUAUAUUAAUUGAAAAACAUUACAAUAUUGUUUUGUAUCCACGUGUCAAUAUAAGAAUGAAAUUCAGAAUUUUAAGAGAAAUAUGUUGGUCCAUCUUAACUUAUAUUAUACUUUUUAUUAAACUAACUAUUAAAAUGAUAAAUAGUGUACAAAAAAAUAUUUUUGCACUUUCCUUAAAUAAAAACUACGGAAUUGCCUUAUAUGAUUAACGUAUAUAUGAUAAUUAAUGAUUAUGAAUUAUAAAUAUUUGAUAAUAUUUUUUGUAUCUUAGGCUCUUAGCUCUUUUUUGUUUAAUUUUAUAUUAUUGAAAGAUAUUAAACAACCACAUUAACCGUAUUGUCUACGAGACAUUUGUCUCUGAUGACAGUUUGUCCUGUGGGAAUUCUGUUAAAAGGUGAGGUCAUUAGGUUCGAGGUGCAUCAACAAGCUAAUUAUGGAGUUAGUGAGAACUCAUAAUGGAGAGGCUGGAGUCUAUUGGACAGAUGGUCCACGGGACAGGUUGUCACAAUUUCGUUGGUUUCUUUGGACUGUUACUGAUUUAAAUGCCGAAUAGAUUAAAAGAUAUUUUUCUAUCAUAUUUUACGUGUCUAUUCCUUGUGCAUGAAACUUUGCUUUUUAAAAUAUGUAUUUUCUAUACAAUAUAUAUUAACCGCUAAAAAUAAGAGAAAAAUCUAUAAAAGUUUUUAAAAUAUCAAACUUAGGCAAUGUGACUGUUACAGCUAUUAAUCAGUUUGUUUAAAAAAAAAUUAAAAUUGACUUAGAAAUUUAGAAAGUCAAGAGCAUAAAUUUUAGCGAUAAAAGAUAUGAGCAAUUUUCUUUAUAAAACAUGAUAACUCAAUGAUGCACUCAUUCUCUCAAAAUAAAAUGCAAAUAGAACUCUUACAUAUUUUUUUGAAAAAGAACUCUUACAUAUUUUGCAGCUCACUUUUAACAAACAGGUGACUUAUAUUAGUCGUAAGUCAAGAACAAAAAUCCUAAAAACAUUUUUCGUGCUCAACAGUGACAUGAUAAUUACACGAUAACUUAAGGAAUCCGCUCAUCCAAUGAAAGACUGAGAAAAAUAAAAUCAUAAAAUCAUAAAAUCUAGCCAAUACUAUGGAUGACGUCAUGGGCACACGUAAGUGCAUGUGCAUCACCAAUUCGAGCAAUUUUCUUUAUAAAACAUGAUAACUCAGUGAUGCACUCAUUCUCUCAAAAUAAAAUGCAAAUAGAACUCUUUACAUAUUUUUUUGAAAAAGAACUCUUACAUAUUUUGCAGCUCACUUUUAACAAACAGGUGACUUAUAUUAGUCGUAAGUCAAGAACAAAAAUCCUAAAAACAUCUUUCGUGCUCAACAGUGACAUGAUAAUUACACGAUAACUUAAGGAAUCCGCUCAUCCAAUGAAAGACUGAGAAAAAUAAAAUCAUAAAAUCUAGCCAAUACUAUGGAUGACGUCAUGGGCACACGUAAGUGCAUGUGCAUCACCAAUUCGUAAAACCAUUUUCAUAUAAAAAUUACACUACUAAAUUUUUUUAUUUUUCCAACUACAACACCAAAAUUAUAUUUCAUAUUUAUAUUAUUAAACUACAUUUUUAUUUUUCAAUAUAUAUAAUAACUAAUUUUUUUUAUAUAACUAUAUUGCACAUAAAUUAUCACACUAAAAUAUUUGUUUUUAAAAUAAAUAUUUACUAUUUUAUUAAUAAUAAUGAUAAAAUAAUUAAUUAAAAAAAUAUUUUGAUAUAUGUAAUAUAUUAAUUAUAUAUUUAGUUCUAUUUUAUAUGUAUUUCUUUUGUUACUGAAGUUUAUUUAACUAAUAUUUUGUUAAUAAAAUUUGUGAAUAGAGUUUAGUGUUGCGAGUAAUACUCAAAUUUAAGCUUAAUGCAAUCGUGUAAUUUUAUACUAAAAUCGUGUAGGUUUUAGAGUUGGAUUGUUGAAGAUAUCUUAGUGCAAAAGUUACACUAAAACAAGUUAUGAAAAAAGAGUUACACUAAAUGAUGUUUUACUAUUGGAAAUAACCUAAAACACCUAUUUGUUAUUGUUUUUUUAUUAAAAUAAGAAGAAGAAAAAACAUAUUGUCCCCAAUCAAAUUUGUUUUUAUUAUUUUUAAUACUAUAGCUCUAGCUGAAAUUUUGUUUGGAUCCGCCUUUGGACGACGUGGUGGUCGGAUCUACAGAGCUGAAGGAUUGGUCAACAAAAUUUUGAAUAUUCACUUGCUUGUUUUCUUGCUUUUCUUCUUGUCAAUAGUGUCAGGGGGCCUUUGGUUUCAGUAUAUAUAUAUAUAUAUAUAUAUAUAUAUGGAUAAUAAUAAUUAUAAUUGUGACAUUGUGAAUAUAGUAGGUCCUACAACAAAAUUUUGAAUAUUUAAGGUAUAUAUAUAUAUGUAGAAAUAUAUUUGAUGAUGUGGGACAUUGUAAAUAUACUUUAAACUUCACAGCUGUCUAUGAAUAUAACUCGAGGUCCUGCUAUCAAUGUUGAUUUUAGACAGGCAUUUUUUUAUACAUCGAAAGGCUGUUCUAUUACUCAAGCUAGAGGUGGUCUGGGAAUCCAGACCGGAAUAGAACAAUCAACAAAAACUAGAUUUUCUAUGAAAACCUCGAGCGGUCUUUGCUAAUGCGUCUGCUGUCUUGUUCUGCGUCCUUGGUACAUGAAAUAUCUUGAAGUUUGGAAAGCGUCCUUGAAUAGCUGCUACCUCUGAUAACUCCAUGGAGAAACUUGGCCAUGCUCUGGGGUCGUUGAUCAUCGAGAUUAUGUCCUUACAGUCUAUUCCGAAGUUCUGGCAUGAUGUGUGUUGGCUCAUAUUCUCCAUUGCCCAUAUUAGUGUAUUUUGUGGCAUUUGUUAUUCGCUUCACUACUAUGAAUGAUAUGUGUUCGCCCGGCUGUAUCAUUAAUUUCUUAGUUAACUUUUUUGUAUGAACACACCCAUGCUUAGAUAACUAAUAUUUAAUAGGAAAUUUUAUCGUAUGACCACCAAAAAAUUAUAAUUCAUCUUCUAAUCAAUUACUUUAAAUUUCAUCGAUAUAUGAUGUAUUAUAUGUAUAAUGUAGUUUUACCCUUCCACUCGACCGAUGCAACCUGCGAAAAAAAAUAAAUAUAAGUUAGUUAGUAUUUACUGAACAAUGUAAAUGUGGUUCUUCUUUUGCCACAAACAAUUAAUCCAAGUAAAUUUGUAUAUGAUAAAAUUGAGAAAACUGAAUAGUUUCUUUCUCACUUUUGAGUUUUGUUCGACAUUGAAAACACAUCGAUGAUUGGAGGAGCAGACUGGUUGUGACGUCUCUGUCGGAAAAAGAUUCGCCAAUUCAAAAAUCGACAAUCGCAACGACGGCAUAGUGGCUCAGUGAAUAAAUCUUCCCGAUUCCAUAUUUUCCAGUGAGUGAAGACGGUAUGUGAAAUCAUGUAAGUCUUGAUUUGGGAUUCAGUAGUUUUACUACCCCAUCGAAAUCGAAUCAGAAAUAGCAAAUCUCACAUGUAACGGAAAAUAACUUCACUUUAAGAUAUCUCAAAUCUUUUAGUCUGGGUUAUUCGAAACACAAACAACUUGAAAAUAUAAGAGACUGGUUUAGAUUAAAUCUGCACCAUAUGUCAUUGCAAAAGUAAACUAACCACAAGUUUGUGGCUUUUUGUUUCUAUGAAAGGUUUGUUUCUAUUCCAGUGUUUAAGGCAGUCUAUAUGAAUGAGUAUCAACAUGGAAUAGAUUUGUAAAUGUGCAUCAACGUAAUUGUAAAUGUACAUCAACGUAAAUAUGUGUGGGAUAUAUUUGUAAAUGGAAUAUACUAUAUAUAUAGUAACAUAAAUAGUACAGAUUUAUGUCUGCAUAGUAUAGACACUGUUUUUUUUUUUCAUGGAAUAUGUCGUGUGUUGUAUAGAUUCAUCUUUCACAUGGUAUUUCUCCCACCGAUCAGCCUUUGUAAGCGAAUUCAAGUUAAUGUUCGUCGGUGACAGAAAGGGGAAAUUUCUGGAAUUCCGGAUAAUAUUUGAUCAUAUGUAAAAUAGACAUAACUCAUGUAAACAUAACAGAUAUUUGGACUCUUGUAUAGGAAAGAUCACACAUGUGAUGGUGCAAUGUAUAUAUUCUCAUUUACAUGUAAUGAUGCAAUGUGUAUAUAGAUUAAACAGAUCAUGGACAUGUAAAGGAAAUGUCAUACAUGCGAAAUGGAAUAUCAUAUUAUCAUUUUCGUUAACCGCACUCAUACAAGUGUAAACUUUAUUAGCAUUUAGUUAACUCAAUUUUUGUAUUUAGUUAACCACAUUCAUACAAAUGUAAAUUUCACACAAAUUUAUAUUAUUAUGUUUAUAAUGAUUAUAUUUUACAUUUAAAAGAAGAUUAUUACAAUGAAUGCUCUAUAUUGUAUAGUUUAAUAUUACAUAUUAUAGUUUAAUAUUACAUAAUAUUAUGUACUAUUUUCAAAUAUUGAUAUUUGGGUUUAAGUUUUAUAUUUGGGUUUAGGAUUUAGUGAUUAGAGUUUAAGGUUUAGCAUUUGGAAGGUGGGAGUUGACGUUGAGUCAGCAUUAACUUCUUUCAUGUAAUUAUAGAUAUUUCAUAAUUUCAUUAAUAUGUACUAUGCUACUUGUUUUGUUCAAUUCUAUUUGGGUUUAUGUUUUAUAUUUGGAUUUAGGGUUUUUGUUUGGAUUUAGGGUUUAUUGAUUAUGGUUUAGGGUGUAGUAUUUAAGGGUUGGGGGUGGGGGUUAGGAUAUGGUUUAUUAUUUAGAUGUUGGGAAGGUGCUGCCGUCCUAUUCUAUUUUUGUGAUAUGGAAUAGAACACUUCGUAAUGGGUGGGAUUAGUAUCCUAUACUACUUCUCCAAUAUGAAAUACUAUAUUUAUUAAAAAUCUGUUUUGAUUCACUCAUUUUAUAUUAUUUAAUUAUUUUUUGAAUUCACUGUUUUUACUAGAUGGUUGUUAUGGAAAUGAACUUACAUUGUGUAAUAAAUGAAAUACUCCAUUUAUUAAAACAAUGUUAUAUUUUCAUCCACUUUUUUUACAACACAUACAUAUGUGGUAACUAAAUGUGUGACGUAGGUGAGUUUACGUGCUUUCAUUGUCACUAAUGCUCGUUAACUCUUGUCCAUUUCUCCCUUCACUGAUGUCAAAACUUUCCCUCUCAUUCACCGGGUAUCUGCAAAUGAAGAAGGUAUAACCGAUUCAAUAGUGGGAUAAAUGUUAGUUUGAUAAUUAUGUCAAAAUCAAUGAUAUUUUCUUAAUUUUCAUUCACAAUAUGGUUAUUCAGAAAAUUAAACCUAUUUAAUAAUGUGCUUAUUUGUGUAAUACCCAUAUAUGAAGUAUAAAUUAUGUAAGUAGCAUUAAUUUUGACAUAAUGUAAUGUCAGGCAUUUACGUCAUUUUCCAGCCGGUUCUACCGUUUUUUUAAUAAGUUUUCAGUCAACGUGUAUAAUAGGAAAGAAGGAAGAGUCAUCCACAUCACAUGUUUAUUGGCCACAUACAUACGCACUGAGUGUUAUAUUCCAUAAAUAAAAAAUCUUAAAUCUCGAUCACUAAAUCCAAACUCAAAUAUAAACUAUUUAUAUAUUUAUAAUAUUUUUACAACAAAAAAAAAUCUGAAAAUAGGAUAUAUUAUUUUGUAAUAUUAUACUAUAUAAAUAGAUAGGAAAGAAGGGGAAGCCAUACACGUCACACGUUUAUUGACCACACACAUGUACAUUGAAUGAUUUAUUUCAUAUGGCCGAAUUAGCUAAGAUUAUAAUCCACCCACAACCCCUAAUACUACUGAACCCUAAAUCCCAAUCACUAAACUUAGACCCAAAUAUAAACAAUAAUAUAUAUAUUUAUAAUAUUUACACAACUGGAAAAAAAUAUUAAAAGAGAUAAAUGAAUGAUGAGAAUAAAACAAAAUAAUAAACUUACGUAAAUGUUAAUUGCAUAGAUAAGAAUAAAGAAGAAAGGAUAAGAGGUUAACCGAUUGUGUUCAAGAAUAGUUUGAUAUAUAUUUUAGAAAAUAAGUUGAAUAUCUUAGUAAAACUUUUUUUAGUUAGUUACCUAAUGAUAAAUUUUUUUUGGUGGUCAUACAGCCAAUUUCCCUUUAAUAAUCACACCUUUUGUUUUGCUGUUCUUUUAGAAACCAGGCUAUUUGACCUACUUGACCAAAUGAUACUAUCUUUUAAAAUAACAAAAUUCUCUUCGUAGUAAAUAAUUUCUACUCUUGUAUUUCUUGUUCUUAACUUGAAAAAAAAAAGUUCACGUAGACGCGGAGUGAAUUUUAUUUUAAAUAUGUUAUAUUUAAUAUUAUAAACAAUACACAUUUUAUUAUCAAUAACUCUUUUUUUACAUUUGAUUAGGGGUGGACAUUCGGAUACCAUUUCGUUCAGUUUAUUUUGGAUCCUUGCGGAUUCGGUUCGGUAAGGAUCUUUGCUGGUUUGGAUAACCAUUAACUUUUUUUAAGAAAAUUAAAGUUUAUAUACUUUAAAUUUUUUAAAAUCUAAAAACAAAAACAAUAUAUAACAUAUAAAUUUGAAUAAUGUAUGCCAAAAUACUUAAACUUAACAUAAAAAUUGGUUUAGGUAAAUAUUUGGAUUUGAAAUCAAUAGAUAUUUUAAGCGUUUUUGGUAUUUUGUGCAUCGUUUGGCUAUUUUAAACAUGAAUUUUUAACUAUUCGUAUAUAUUUCCCAAUAUUUUGGACAACUUGAAAACAUCUUAUAUUUUUUGUAUGUUCUUUCAGAUAUUAAAUUUUAAAAAAUUAAUAUAUUUAAGUAUAUAAAUGUGAUCCAAAUAUACUUGGAUAUCCGAAAUAUUUCGUUUCGGUUCGGGUUCGGUUCUGGUUCUCUAGAUACCAAAUUUUUUUAACCUGUCCCGCUUACUUUCGCUAGGCAUAAUAGGCCUCUCUUUAGAUAUCUGGCCAAAUUUUGGUUAAAGUUCAAUACUACGUUUUCGGAUUGGAUUUAGUUCGAUUUUUUGGAUUCAGGUUAUUUUGUUCAACCUUAUAUUUUUUAUUGUAACAAACUUUUAAACGAAAGUGAUGAUGGUUCAUAUUGAUUUUUGGUAUGCAACAAUUUUUAAACCAAAACACAUCUACUAUGUAUGUGGUCCAUUUAGUUAAUCAUUUAAAAUGGUUGUAAGCCCAUUUAAGGAAAGCGAUGGGUAGAACUAAAAAACGUUACCGUUUUAGAUUGUCAAAAUCGACACUUUUAAAUUAUUCUAUGUUGGUGUUAUGACGAAGAGAAAAAUGGAGUAGGAUUAGGAAAGCAAAUUUGUUGUGCAAUCCAUGUUUUCGUUAGGUGUUUUCAAUAGCUUCUAAAUAAAUCUUGGAUGUAUUGAUUUCUUGUAAGAUUUUUGAAAAUACUAAUUAAUAACAUCUUACAGUUGCUAUAGUAAUCAAUUGUUUCCCAACUAAUAUAUAUGGGAUUAGAGUAAUCACAUAAAUUAAAAAAAAUAUACCUCUUAUUUAUUUACAAUAUUUUUAUGAUAAAUAAAUCAAAAUAAUUAUUUUAUUUAUUGUAUAUGGUAUAUAAUUAAAUUUCAAUGAUAUUGACAUAAAUAUAUAGUAUAUUUUAAUAUAAAUAUUUAUUAUCAUAUCGUUUUAUUAACAUUUGUGUAUUUCCUGUAACAAAAAAAUUAAAUCAUUAAUCACAAAAUUUUGAUGUGAUAUUUUAAAUGCAAAUUUCAAAAUUAACAUAUUUAUGUAAUUUUUAAAUAAUUUUUUAUUGCAUUUAUGGGUAAACCAGUCAGAAUAACCCACAAACGCAAUAAUUUUUAAACGUUGUGUUAGUCACAGCACCCACUUCCGCAAACUCCCGCAACCACAACUGGUGUGUUUGAAUCAGUCAGGAAGUCAAAUAUGAGUAGCACCAAUGACAUUAUAUGUAAUAAGUUUAGUUAAUUAAGGGUAAUUGUAAAAGUUGGCUGAGAAGUGUGAAAUUGGCACAUUAUGAAAUCAUCCUAAUAACAUGCUUGUAAUUAAAAUACCAAAGUUUGUUCCAAAAAAAAUUAAAAUUAAAAUACCAAAGCUAAGUUAUUCUUAAAAAUUGUUUCACUUUUAAUAAUGAAGGGAUAGGGGUCAGUAUGUAUUCCAUACCAAGAGUGUGUAUUUUGAAUAACUUAUGUUUUUAAUUAGAAUUUUUUUGGUUAUGCUUUAUAUGUGAAUCAUUAGUUUGAUCGAUUAACAGUGUUUGAUGUUAGAAUAUUUGAAUUCUAUUAUGUUGAAAUUUUCCAUAAUUCAUUCGUUGGGAUUAUUUUAGUGAAUUUUUGUUUUACUUUAUUUUAGCAGUGUAAAUCUUUUGAUUUGUUUUAUUUUAUGACAUAUGUUUUAUUUAUGCACUUAUAUUUUAUUUUCCAUGUUAUUUUUUCUUUAUGUCUCUAUAUUUGUACAAAUAUAUACUUUUUAAAUCCGUAUCAGUAUUGAAUACUUAAUUGUUUUAGGAAUUCAUGAUGUAAAUUAAAAACAAAAAACAAAAUUUCACAUUUAUAUAAAUAAAAUUACCUUAAUAUUUUGCUUAUAAGCAAAAUCCACCAUGGAUCCUUUUAAUUUUUAAUUCUUAUGAAUUUUUUUUUAUUUUGAAAAUUUUGAAACUUUUAUAUAUUUUUUUGGUUUAAUAUGUAUUGCACUAAAUUUUAGUUGUUUAUUUUUUAAAUUCUAAAAUCUUAGUUUCAAUUAUAUAUAUUAACUUUUGGUUGUGGAUGUCCUUAAAUUUAAAUUUUUCUAAAUUUGAGUUUGGUGACAAAAAGAACUUGAUUAUAUUCGCUCUUUUAAGCUCGACUUUAAUAAAUUCAUCAUAUCUCUAAAAAUACUUCACCAAGUAUGUCAACAUCCAACGCACACGAGUGACAUAAAACGCUUGAUCACCCAAGUACACACAACUCACCAUGAGCUCCAAGUAAUGGCUAACUCUACCAUACAAAUCGUCAACUCUCACGCUACUAAACUAAAUCCACAUCAGACUCUAUUAGGAACCACUUCGUCAUACCAUAGCAUUCAACACAUAACUUGCUCUUCAAGACCAGAAUUUGCUCUCCAAGUUUUCCAAAUGCACUUAAUGGAACUUUUCAUUUCUUUAAUGGAAAAUUCUAUCUUCAAACAAACUGUUUUUUUUUUUGUUUUUUGGAAAAUAUCUAUUUGUCUUCAAACAUAUAUUAUCUUUAUUUUUGCUAGUUCAGAAAACCCACAUUCAUCACGAAACAUAAACUCCAACAUAGUCCAUCUUCAUGACACAUGCAUGAACUACUUCAUCUUAAUAAUUUACGAACUGAUAUAGAACAUCCCAUCAAACUAUAUCUUCAUCUCGGAGUCGGAAUUAAAAUGUCGAUCCUGUUUUUAUUAUAGAUUUGUUUUGUAUGAAAUUUAGCUUUUAAAAACUGAAAAACUCUCUAAACAAUAUUUUAAAUGUUUUUAAGAGGAAAAAAAUCAACAUUUUGUUUUUUACAUGAAAAUGUCAAAAUUAGUCAAUGCGACUAUUACAGCCAUUAAUUAUUAUUUAUAAGUUAUAAUUGACUCAGAAAUUUAGAAAGACAAGAACAUAAAAUUUUAGCAAAAAGAUAUGGUGAACAACUUUUUUUUUGUAAAAAAACAUGAUAACGCAGUAAUUAAUAAUAGUGAGAAUUUGAAAAUACCUUAUUUGUGAUUUGAAUUUUGAAAAUUGCACCCUUAUUUUUUAUAUUUGAAAAUUACACUUUCUUAUAUAUGAAAAGACAGUUUAACCCUAAUUUAAUAUAAAAUAAAAAACUAAAUAAGUUUAAUCGAAAUUAUUUAUGUUUGAAAUAAUUAUAUAUUUGAGAAAAAUACAUGUCACGACUAAGAAACUGAUGUUUACGAAGUUAAUAAAACAAAAAACUCACGAUUCCAAAGAAGUCACUAAGAUUUUUAUAUAACUAUAAUCAUCUUUAAUUACAAUUUGUCACGAUGUUCUUGUGGCAUUCAUGAAGACCGACUGUGUUUUAUUUCUUCUUCUGAAGUACAAUACGAACUGUUAGUGAGUGUUAUUUUUAAUAGGUAUUAGUUUAUUGGAUGUUUUCCAACAUAUUUACGUAGAUCAUACUGUAAAACACAUGAACAAAUUGAUAUCAUAUUUGUAUACUUGGAUGUUGUGGUGUAUGACAGAUCAUUCGUAUGAAGAAUGUUUUCGUACUUCCUAAUAUUGUAAGAACAAUGUUAUGCUCCAUGUUCAUGCCGUUUUUCAGUGGCAGUUUCUGAUUUUUGAUGAUUAUUCCUAUUUUUUUAGUUUGCGUUUUCUAUGCUUGCAUCUGCGAUGACUUCAGGAUAUCCCUCCUAAAAUUAAAAUUUCAUUAAGAUGAGUAACAAAUAUGCAUAUAAUAGAGAACUAGAAGAAGAAAAGGAUAUACGACAUAAAAAUGGAAAACCAAGGGAAGAUACUAAAAUAGAAGAUACUAGUAUUGACCCAUGCGAAGCAUGGGAGUAUUUUAUUUUCUUAGAAAUAUAAUAUAUAUGGAUGCACAUUAUUUUGAAGGUUAUUAGUGAUAAACUUAUUGAAAUGGAAAAAGUUGAUUUCUCUUUUCCAAAACCAACAAAAAUUAUUUGAUAUGAACAAAGCAAAAAGUUACAAUUUGACAUUGUUGUUUCAAGUUACAAUUUUUUUAACAAACAUCACGCCUCCAUUUAGAGAUUGCAAACAUUUGAUAAGAUUCAAAUACUUAUCGAAUUUACUUGAUUACAGGCUAUGUCCUUUACUCCUUUUGAAUGAUUAAUAUAUUAUACCUAUCACGGAAGCGUCUCUUUUGAGUAAUUACAGGCUAUAUCCAAGUGUGUGUCGAAUUUAUAGGAACUGAGAAGACAAAAACUGUGGAAGAAGGAUGAUCGUGUGUAGUGUAGUGCUCUUAGUGGAUUUUGUUUAUAGAAGCCGUUGCUACAAUUUUUUUCCCUCGCCUGCAGUUUUUUUUCAACAUUAUUUUGUUUUUAAAAAAUUGUAAACAUAUCUUAUGUGUCAGAAUUUAAUUGGCUAGGUGACUUGUGAUUUAGUAUAUAAAAGAUGUUUUACAUAAAUGGAGACUAAAAGAAAUAGGAAGAAUAAACGAGGAAAAAGACGCUUAUUUUGUUUAUUUCAAAAAACACUA